GGGUGUUGGGCAACAGAACGAGACUCAGUUGAGGUACAAAACAAAAAGACAGGAGGCAAUGGAGGUGGUAGAAACCAGCUGUAGAAUGGGAAAUUCUGUCUGGACGUUAACAGGAAGUCUUUUUCUGAGAGUGGUUCAGCACUGCCCAGCUGGGCAGCCUCUGUCCUUUGGAGAUGUCUGGAAGUAGCCUGGAGCAGACUCCUUGCUGCUUUGAGGUGCUGCUGAUCGCCUGCUGCUGAAGUCUGAGGGAGAACACAUUCAGAUGGGUGCCCUGGCAGAGCUGCCAAGUGACUAUAGCGAUGUGACUUCGUGCUGUUCCAAGGUUGUCAUCCAACUUCUACAGCAAGAAAUCUGAACUACAGAAGUAUAGCUGAAAAGGCCAAAAACGCCAUCUAUGAGAAUGCAAACUUCCAGGGAUCCUCCAAAGAAUUAGCCAGUGACACUGCCAAUCUGAAAGAUGUGCAUUGGAAUGGCCGUCUCCUCAGUAAAAGUAAUAGAACAGCUUUGGGUGGCUUAUGAGCACUUCAGCUAUGCAGGCCAGGUAUUGGUAUUUGAGGAGGGGCAACAUAGAUUUGCUGGUGAACAGUGAAAUGACAAGAUCACUUUCCUGCACAUGAUCUGCAGAUCUGCAGAUCAGUCUAUGAACAUGCUCAGUAUUGAGGGAAGAGUAGGGUGAUAACAGAAACAACCAGCCUGGGUUGGGGACAUGCCACUGACAUUGUCACCAAGUCCAGAGAGGUGCACAGCCGUUGUAUGAACACAGAGACGUGAUUUAUGCUAGAUUGCAUGAGAAUAUGAACACCUUCCAUGUUACAACACAAUUUCAAUGACAAGCUUCCAUUUAUACAUCUACUUCUGCCACAGGCAGAUUAAGUAGCUGGUGUGCCAAGCAGUGACAGAGGCUAUAACCACCGAAAGCAAGCAAGGUAUCCCAGCAAGCCUAUCUUCACCACUUCCAUGGACAUCACUGGAUACAAAGGACACCUUUCAUGGGUCAAAUAGGCAAAUGGGAUGAGGACAAGGAGGGCGCUGAAGAAACUUUGUGUGUUGCACACCACAGAUGUGCUCUGAGGACCACCCACUGCUCAGCGUUCCUUCAGGAUUGUGACUGUGUUUCUAUUCUUUACCUCCAAAAGAAUACACUAAAAACUACAUGACAGACUAAGUUUCAAUAUAAUUUGAAUUAUUAAUUUCAUUUGCAUAUGAAAUAUGCAAGGCUUUAUUACAGAUGUAGGCUCACUGUUUCAGGAACUGUUUUGACAUGUACAGGCUUAUCUGGAGAAUUUGGAGUUGCAGUUCCAAAUGACACUGCUAAAUGGCAUCUGCACUCUGAGCCAUACUGUAGAAGUUGUUGUGCAGCUCUGCAUUUUAAAUCUCAUCCGUCUCAGUGCUGAGAUCCUGCUCUUGCAUUCAUAGCUGGACACAGAGCCUAUAAGCAUGCAGGGUGAUCGGCUGCUGGGCUUUGACCUGUUUAAAAACAAACACAGCAGGAUCUUUUGACGUGUCAGCACUCUGUGGUCCUUUCCAAGGCUCCUGGAGGUAGAUGCAAAGAUGACAAUUCAGGCUUCAUGUGGUAUAGGACACUUCUUACUAAUAUGUGCUCAAUUUCUGAUUUUCUUGCUUUAUUCAUCACAGGUCUUCUAAAAGGGUUUCAAGAUUCAAGUGAGAGAACUCUGAGUAUCGUCCUUACUAUAGACCAAAAUAACUAGGACAGUAUGAAGCCAGCUGUGCCAAAAGGAAGAAGUGUUACCAUGAGACAGAGGGGAAGGAUCUAACAUUGGUGUGUUCAAAUGCAGACUGUGGCAGUGGUGCGAGUGUACUGUGCAUGGUGUUCUCAGCCUGCUCAGUAAGGCAGAUCAGUCUGGCUGUAUCAUCACUGUUAGGUUUCUUCCAGAGGGCCUAAGCACAACACUUCGUGCAAUAUAUAAGAAAACUGCAGAACAUCAAUGCAUGUAAUGUUUUUAAUCCUGUUACUAAUGUAACUUUCCAUUAUUAAUACCUUUUGGAGUAACAAAUCUAGGUGGCUGAGGUCAUCAUCUUCUGUCCAAACAAAUCUGCAAAAUAAAUGAUGUUGGAAAUCCUA